rnacentral:rRNA from 1 species
GACGAACGCUGGCGGCGUGCCUAAUACAUGCAAGUAGAACGCACAGUUUAUACCGUAGCUUGCUACACCAUAGACUGUGAGUUGCGAACGGGUGAGUAACGCGUAGGUAACCUGCCUGGUAGCGGGGGAUAACUAUUGGAAACGAUAGCUAAUACCGCAUAAUAUUAAUUAUUGCAUGAUAAUUAAUUGAAAGGUGCAAUUGCACCACUACCAGAUGGACCUGCGUUGUAUUAGCUAGUAGGUGAGGUAACGGCUCACCUAGGCGACGAUACAUAGCCGACCGGAGAGGGUGGUCGGCCACACUGGGACGGAGACACGGCCCAGACUCCUACGGGAGGCAGCAGUAGGGAAUCUUCGGCAAUGGACGAAAGUCUGACCGAGCAACGCCGCGUGAGUGAAGAAGGUUUUCGGAUCGUAAAGCUCUGUUGUAAGAGAAGAACGGGUGUGAGAGUGGAAAGUUCACACUGUGACGGUAUCUUAACAGAAAGGGACGGCUAACUACGUG